UACGUAGGGGGCAAGCGUUGUCCGGAAUCAUUGGGCGUAAAGCGCGCGUAGGCGGCCCUGUAAGUCCGUUGUGAAAGUCGAAGGCGUCAACCUUCGAAAGCCGAUGGAUACUGCAGGGCUAGAGUCCGGAAGAGGCGAGUGGGAAUUCCUGGUGUAGCGGUGGAAUGCGCAGAUAUCAGGAGGAACACCAAUAGCGAAGGCAGCUCGCUGGGACGGUACUGACGCUGAGACGCGAAGCGUGGGGAGCAAAC
rnacentral:rRNA from 1 species